rnacentral:rRNA from 1 species
GACGAACGCUGGCGGCGUGCUUAACACAUGCAAGUCGAACGAUGAACUUGGAGCUUGCUCUGGGGGAUUAGUGGCGAACGGGUGAGUAACACGUGAGUAACCUGCCCUGGACUCUGGGAUAACUUCGAGAAAUCGGAGCUAAUACCGGAUAGGACCGUGCACCGCAUGGUGUGGGGUGGAAAGUUUUUCGGUUUGGGAUGGACUCGCGGCCUAUCAGGUUGUUGGUGAGGUAAUGGCUCACCAAGGCGUCGACGGGUAGCCGGCCUGAGAGGGUGACCGGCCACACUGGGACUGAGACACGGCCCAGACUCCUACGGGAGGCAGCAGUGGGGAAUAUUGCACAAUGGGCGCAAGCCUGAUGCAGCAACGCCGCGUGCGGGAUGACGGCCUUCGGGUUGUAAACCGCUUUUAGUAGGGAAGAAGCCUUCGGGUGACGGUACCUGCAGAAAAAGGACCGGCUAACUACGUGCCAGCAGCCGCCGUAAAAC